rnacentral:rRNA from 1 species
GACGAACGCUGGCGGCGUGCCUAAUACAUGCAAGUAGAACGCUGAAGGAGGAGCUUGCUUCUCUGGAUGAGUUGCGAACGGGUGAGUAACGCGUAGGUAACCUGCCUGGUAGCGGGGGAUAACUAUUGGAAACGAUAGCUAAUACCGCAUAAUAUUGACUAUUGCAUGAUAGUCAGUUGAAAGGUGCAACUGCACCACUACCAGAUGGGCCUGCGUUGUAUUAGCUAGUUGGUGGGGUAACGGCUCACCAAGGCGACGAUACAUAGCCGACCUGAGAGGGUGAUCGGCCACACUGGGACUGAGACACGGCCCAGACUCCUACGGGAGGCAGCAGUAGGGAAUCUUCGGCAAUGGACGGAAGUCUGACCGAGCAACGCCGCGUGAGUGAAGAAGGUUUUCGGAUCGUAAAGCUCUGUUGUAAGAGAAGAACGAGUGUGAGAGUGGAAAGCUCACACUGUGACGGUAUCUUACCAGAAAGGGACGGCUAACUACGUG